rnacentral:rRNA from 1 species
GAACGCUAGCGGCAGGCCUAACACAUGCAAGUCGAGGGAGAGGUUACCUUCGGGUAACUGAAACCGGCGCACGGGUGCGUAACGCGUAUACAAUCUGCCUUUCACAUAGGGAUAGCCCGAAGAAAUUUGGAUUAAUACCUAAUGGUAUAUAAGAGCGGCAUCGUUUUUAUAUUAAAGCUACGGUGGCGAAAGAUGAGUAUGCGUUCUAUUAGCUAGUUGGAGAGGUAACGGCUCCCCAAGGCGACGAUAGAUAGGGGUUCUGAGAGGGAUGUCCCCCACACUGGUACUGAGAUACGGACCAGACUCCUACGGGAGGCAGCAGUGAGGAAUAUUGGACAAUGGUCGGAAGACCGAUCCAGCCAUGCCGCGUGCAGGAUGAAGGUCCUAUGGAUUGUAAACUGCUUUUGUAAGGGAAGAAUAAGGGGUACGUGUACUUUGAUGACGGUACCUUACGAAUAAGCAUCGGCUAACUCCGUGCCAGCAGCCGCGGUAAUACGGAGGAUGCGAGCGUUAUCCGGAAUCAUUGGGUUUAAAGGGUCCGUAGGCGGGCUGAUAAGUCAGAGGUGAAAGCGCUUAGCUCAACUAAGCAACUGCCUUUGAAACUGUCAGUCUUGAAUGAUUGUGAAGUAGUUGGAAUGUGUAGUGUAGCGGUGAAAUGCUUAGAUAUUACACAGAACACCGAUAGCGAAGGCAUAUUACUAACAAUUUAUCGACGCUGAUGGACGAAAGCGUGGGGAGCGAACAGGAUUAGAUACCCUGGUAGUCCACGCUGUAAACGAUGGAUACUAGCUGUUUGGAGCAAUCUGAGUGGCUAAGCGAAAGUGAUAAGUAUCCCACCUGGGAGUACGCA